rnacentral:rRNA from 1 species
UACGUAGGGUGCGAGCGUUGUCCGGAAUUACUGGGCGUAAAGAGCUCGUGGGUGGUUUGUCGCGUUGUUCGUGAAAACCUGAGGCUUAACCUUGGGCGUGCGGGCGAUACGGGCAGACUGGAGUACUGCAGGGGAGACUGGAAUUCCUGGUGUAGCGGUGGAAUGCGCAGAUAUCAGGAGGAACACCGGUGGCGAAGGCGGGUCUCUGGGCAGUAACUGACGCUGAGGAGCGAAAGCGUGGGGAGCGAACAGG